AGAAGCGGACACCGUUGCAUGCCGCUGCCUAUCUAGGAGAUACAGAAAUUCUAGAGCUACUCAUACUAUCAGGAGGCAGUCCAGGUGCUAUUGAAACACUCUGCUGAUGUGAACGCCAGGGACAAGAACUGGCAGACGCCGCUCCACAUUGCUGCGGCCAAUAAGGCGGUCCGCUGUGCUGAGGCCCUGGUCCCUCUCCUCAGCAAUGUGAACGUGUCGGACCGGGCCGGGCGCACGGCGCUGCACCAUGCAGCCUUCAGCGGACACCUGGAGAUGGUGAUGCUGCUUCUCUCCAGAGGAGCCAAAAUUAAUGCUUUUGACAAGAAGGACCGUAGAGCAAUCCACUGGGCUGCUUACAUGGCAUCAGACCCUAUGGAUCGGAGUAAGGCCAGGGCAUGCACAAUGGAGGCGUCAUUUGAUGACAGCUCUGGGAAAAAAAGAAAAAAAAGUUCAGGAGGUUCGUCAUAUGAAGGACAUUCAAGUGGAUGUGACCCCUAACCUGCAAUAGGGGCUCAGUGGGGUGACAGACAUCCUGUAAUGGAUCUCCAAGCUAGUGUCUGAGGACCUGGAGGAGGCUGUGUCUACAGCUGUGGUUCAGGACAAGCAUGGACCUGAGCCCUGGGACCAUACGUCGGGACUGCCGGGCGUGGUGGCUCCUUGCUGUCCCCAGUCCGCCUGGCCUUGCUGCUGUUCUGCCUGCGGUUAUGGAAUCGCCACCUGUCCCAGACCUGUUGUUUUUCAACUCUUAAUGAUCGGCUAUGAAAAGCCAACUGAAUAUUAUUCAUGAUUAUUAUUUGACCAUGCUUGUCACUUAUGAACAUUUUUGAACAUCUUGGCAUAGUUCUGUUAUAAUCUCCACCCGGCACAGCCAGAAGAGGACUGGCCACCCCUCAUAGCCUGGUUCCUCUCUAGGUUUCUUCCUAGGUUUUGGCCUUUCUAGGGAGUUUUUCCUAGCCACCGUGCUUCUACAUGUGCAUUCUAGCUGUUUGGGGUUUUAGGCUGGGUCUCUGUACAGCACUUCGAGACAUUAGCUGAUGUACGAAGGGCUAUAUAAAAUAAACUUGAUUGAAACUUGAUUGUAUAUAGACUUUCUUUUUUGUACUGUGUCAUUGACUUGUUUAUUGUGUUAUUGGCUUGUUUAUUGUUUAUCCCAUGUGUAACUCUGUGUUGUUCUCUGUGUUACACUGCUUUGCUUUAUCUUGGCCAGGUUGCAGUUGCAAAUGAGAACUUGUUCUCAACUAGCCUACCUGGUUAAAUAAAUGUGAGAAAAAAAUAAAAA